GUGAAGACGUUACUGGCAAAAAAAAAUGUCGCACUGGCACAGAAAGACAGAAGAAUUGAUUAUCUUGAGCAGGAACUAGCAGAUAUACAAUCGAGAACGGCACCAUCCCAUACAACUAGAUAUGCAGACGGCAUAUUAGAAGAAAAUCAUCCUGACAAGUUAGCAACUAUACAAACUGAACAUGACCAGCAUAUCUUCAACUAGGACAGACAUAGCUUAGCUUCACAAAGCUUGAUACAAAUUGACAAACCUUCACAGAAACAAAGCAUAAGCAUCGCUGACCAUCGCAGAGAGAGUGGAAACACAUUUCUGCCUUUGGGUAAAAGCAGGGUUGGAUGUGAUUUUUGAGAGAAGGCAUAAGAACCUGAAAUCAUUCAAAAAUGCAAGAUCUACUGACAAAGGACAAUCUCUGACCGUGAACCAACACCAUAAACGGGUGGAUAAUACGUCUCCUAUAGGUUAUGCCUUCAGCCUGUCUCUGAGUGCAAACACCAAUGUGGUUUUACA
rnacentral:misc_RNA from 1 species